CGCGUCGGUGCCGUGUUCUGUGACUGACUCGGCUGGCACCCGCCGGUCUGUCACAGAACACGGGACCGGCCGCGG
rnacentral:miRNA from 14 species